UGGAGGGAAACCUUGUCUCAAAACAACAUUAUCUUUUGCAGAUAAGUAUGAGUUAAAAACCUGAAUUGCUAUAUAAUCUGAAGAAGUGCAGCUCCUGUUUUUCCUGGAUCUGGAGAGCAACACCACCUGGGAACAGGAAAGGGUUCACAUAGAGGAGACAAGCAGCUCAAAGUGGACAGAGCUGCUGUAGAAAACAACUGAUAAGGACAUUCAGGAAGUGUGUGUGUAUGUGAGUGAGUGAGUGAUAAAGAGAACAUGGUAUAAUGAUGUGUGCAUGACAUGAUUAUGAUGAUGAUGAUGAUGAUGAUGACACUGAGACAGAUUUUUCUUUUGUAUCAAGCUAACCUCAAUUAGGAGUUAAUUAGCUAUGGAAAAAAGCAUGCGUCCUUUUUAAAAAGUAUUUGGGUUCUUUAAUUAUAGCAGCAAUAAUUAGAUUUUUUUUUUUUUAUCUAAAAAAAGUUAGCUGAAGCCUAAAUGUCUCAUUUUUGUUUAGAAUGAAAAGAAACAGCACUGAUUGAACUGUGUGUGUUUAUUAUGUGUGUGGUUGAGAGAGAAUGUGUGAUAUGUGUUUGUGUAUGCACUUUGGGUAUAUUGCGCAUGUGUGUAUUAUAUGUGUAUUGUGUGUGUAUUGUGCAUGUGUAUAAAUUGUGUGUAUUGUAUGUAUAAUG